rnacentral:rRNA from 1 species
GACGAACGCUGGCGGCGUGCUUAACACAUGCAAGUCGAACGGAAAGGCCCUGCUUUUGUGGGGUGCUCGAGUGGCGAACGGGUGAGUAACACGUGAGUAACCUGCCCUUGACUUUGGGAUAACUUCAGGAAACUGGGGCUAAUACCGGAUAGGAGCUCCUGCUGCAUGGUGGGGGUUGGAAAGUUUCGGCGGUUGGGGAUGGACUAGCGGCUUAUCAGCUUGUUGGUGGGGUAGUGGCUUACCAAGGAUUUGACGGGUAGCCGGCCUGAGAGGGUGACCGGCUACAUUGGGCUGGGAUACGGCCCAGACUCUUACGGGAGGCAGCAGUGGGGAAUAUUGCACAAUGGGCGGAAGCCUGAUGCAGCAACGACGCGUGCGGGAUGACGGCAUUCGGGUUGUAAGCCGCUUUCGCCUGUGACGAAGCGUGAGUGACGGUAAUGUGUAAAGAAGCACCGGCUAACUACGUG